GGGAAACCGGGGCUAAUACCGGAUAAUACAUGAAACCGCAUGGUUUCAUGAUGAAAGACGGUUUUGCUGUCACUUAUAGAUGGACCCGCGGCGUAUUAGCUAGUUGGUAAGGUAACGGCUUACCAAGGCAACGAUACGUAGCCGACCUGAGAGGGUGAUCGGCCACACUGGAACUGAGACACGGUCCAG
rnacentral:rRNA from 1 species